CCGAUUCUGAGGUGGCACUGAAAACCCUGCUGCUGGAGCCCUGCGCUGCUCUGGAUGCAGGGACGCUGCGGUACCCACUCCCUCACCGCCCCCGGCAACCAAUCUGGCCUUAGGACCCAUCAGAACAAGAUAAAAGGCAGAGCAGGCGCUUUCAAAACCUGUGCUGUACCAGUUUCACAGCAUCAGCACAGCCCAGGAGAACAGCAGCCUCGGAUCCCAGCGGCUGACACAGCGGGAAAGCAGCACCACAAAAUCAGACGACGCGAGACGGAGACUCUGGCAUCUCAGCCGGCGGGAAGGUGGCAGUUACCCUUCGCCGUGGCCUCUGGCCGGCUGCAAGCAGGGGGACCGAGGCACCCCAAGGAAAGAAUGCCCAGGGGCUCCGCCGCAUAGAGGACACCUCAUGGAGCUGCGUUUUUUGGGGUGCAUAUAUUGUUUUCGCCUGUGGUUCAAUUCAAGCCCCAAAGCAUCGCCAUGGCAACCAGGGGGCUGCAGGUGCAGCAGCGGUAUCCAGGGGAACAGUCUGGAAAGGACAGCAAGCUCAAUGCCCAUCUAUCGCCAUGAAGACAGGCAGCAUUAUGAAGUAGAAGUCAGGGCUCUUGACACAUGAACAGAGGGUCAUGGAUUCAAACCCCAGGAGGUCUGUUUGCCCAGCUGUAUACCUGGGUCCGCAGGCCAUUUUUGUAAAUGAGAAUUUAUUUAAAAUUGACUUACGGUAUCUGCUUAAAUGAAGGAAUGAAUAAAUUCUAUAAACCCUA